GCAAACAUUUCAUCAGUGAACUUCAUUCAACAUUUGCCACUUAUAGGUCUAACAUUUGGGAUAGAUUUUCACGGAUCGGUUUCAAAACAUAAAAGCAUAAACGACUCAACUACUUCACACAAGCUAUUGAUCACAAAACUCUGCUAAGCACCGAAGGAGAAUCAUCGUAAUAGCUAAAGCUUGAAUAUAGCUCAAUACUUAGGAGCUGGAUGCUGAGUAGGUAACAGUCCAAAUCGCUUCUUCAGUUUAACUCUCUGCUCUGAAAAUUUGUCAUCAGGUGAAAACCGGGCUGCAAUUCCGGAAAACAAAAGAAAAAAUCAUUAAUAGUUGUAGGAAAUUGGAUCGUGGGUUCUAAAUAAUAUUGAACGGCAUUUGUAAAAGUUGUCAAAACAAAAAAGGUAGUGUUAAAUUAGCAGUGAUGAAUUCACCAAUGCAGAAUCAAAAGAGUGCAAAAAUAAACAUUCAUAAUAAAUAUAUAAAGUAUCCCUUACUUCACAAUCAUAAUUCAAAACAUUUGCUUCACACCUUGUCUCAUUUUUUUUUAGCAAAAAAAGACAGAGAGGAUAAACUAAGCUACCAAAUUCCAAAUGAAAUAAUUUUUCUAUAUUGAUCAACAAAAAAAGAAUUAGAUGAGAGUCUACAGAAGCCCCAAUAGAGAGAAUAAUGUAAACCUCUAAGUUAAAUUGUUUUAGCGGUAGACAUGAUUUGUAAGAGAACAUUAUAAUGUUACUUAUUCUGCUUAAUGUUGUAACCAAAAUCACUCACUGUGAGUUAAAGGUCUUUUGAAGCAUGGACGCGUGAGUUUUGGUGAGUAUUGUACUUAACGUGUCAAUACACUGUGAUCACGUUAACAAGUAUUGGAAGCCUUUUAAAAAAAAAACAAUAAGUCGUUAAUACCACUUGACACAUAGACUUAAACAUGGAGAGGCGUUAAGUGCAUCUUUGCAAUGAGAAUUAAGAGUGGCUGCACAUUUGAGAAUUGAGAGUGGACCAUGAAAAAGAAUAGGCCCUAAAUUUUCAUGACACAUAGACUUGUUUUUUAUUCUCAAAUAUGUCGCGGGUCUCAAUUCUAAUACCCACACCUCUCCAUGUUUGAAGUUUCUCUUGACUUCUGGUUUUUUCACAUUCACUUGAAAAUCUUUUUAUGUCACUUUCUUUCUGUAUACCUCCCCUAAAUCCAAUUGCAAAUCCAAAUCCAAAGUUUCUAGCUGACCUAUCAGUUUCAAUAUUUUACCUCCAAGAUUGGAUGUGGCGAAUCAUAAAACAUAUCGUCAUUUAUCUAUUUAAUUGAUUAAAAAAUCUAUUGAAUAUUUUGACAACAAAUAUCAACUAUUGAUCGGAGUGUAUUGACUGAAGCACAAAAUACCUGGAUGAGCAGAUUGAGUAGCUAACCCAAGCGGUGACUCUUUCUGCAAAAAAAAAAAACAAAAAAAGUGUCAUAUAUUUUUUUAAAUAAACGAGUGAAAAUGAAAUAAAAUAAAAUCUUGAUCCAAGGUUUAAAUGAGAUAAGUUUUACCUUGGUGGUGUAGACCUUGUCACCGUUAUCGUUGAUGUAAAAUUGAAGAUACAUGGUUACACUGAAACAACCUUGUCGCUGUAGAAAAAGUUGAAUAAAUUGUUAACAAAAGGUGUUGCAAGAGAAAGAAAAUCUGAAAUCAGAGUUUGUGACAACGUUGUUGAAGGAUGGAUAUACCUUGUCGAGAACUUGAGAAACAGAAGAAAGAAAACC
rnacentral:lncRNA from 1 species